rnacentral:hammerhead_ribozyme from 1 species
GUCCAGCUGACGAGCCACAAAUAGGACGAAACGCGCGUCCUGGAU